rnacentral:rRNA from 1 species
GAAAAGAACUUUGGAGAGAGAGUCAAAAAGACCGCAAAACCGUUAGGAGGGAAACGAACGCAGCUGAAGCGGCUCCUCGCGGGCUCAGGGAGCCGGCGGCGAGUCCCGGCGGGUGGCGGAGGUCGUAGGGCCACGCCGCUCCUUCCGUCGGGUUUCUCGUUGCCGGCCCUGCACUUCCGCGAGGAGCCGGCCAACGUCGGUUGCCUCCGGCUCGGCGGGCGUCGGGGGAGGUGGCUUUGCGCUCGUCGCGAAGACCGUACAGCCCAGGCGCGCGGCAGUCUGGAGGGCGACCGAGGAGAGAGUCUUGCGAUCCUUCGCACGCGCGGCGCGGGCCGACUCCGGUCGGCUGCGUCCUCUCGCUCGGGGGUGGACCGGCUUGCUCACUGCGUGCAGUGUUCCGGCACGGCCCCGUCUCCGAGUCGGGAAGGCACGACAACUCGCGCCCAGGUCGUUGGCGUCCGAAUGGCUGCGUCCCGACCCGUCUUGAAACACGGA